UGCAAAUCUGAUUUAAGUCAUGAGAUAAAUCUUCUUCCCAUAGAACAAAGUGGUAGGUUCAAGCAGGAAACUCUGCAAGUAACUCAGGCUACCCACUGAUCCUGUAUUUCACACAUUUAGAUGUGGUAUGACACAAUGUUGUCUGUGGAAAGUGGAGAUCCUUCACACCUGUAAAUUCACUGAGGCUGUUGUGUCAAGUAGUAAAUGGCAAAAUUCAGAGUUUGGUUCU
rnacentral:sRNA from 1 species